UACGUAGGGGGCAAGCGUUGUCCGGAAUCAUUGGGCGUAAAGCGCGUGUAGGCGGUCCGGUAAGUCGGCUGUGAAAGUCCAGGGCUCAACCCUGGGAUGCCGGUCGAUACUGCCGGACUAGAGUUCGGAAGAGGCGAGUGGAAUUCCCGGUGUAGCGGUGAAAUGCGCAGAUAUCGGGAGGAACACCAAUGGCGAAGGCAGCUCGCUGGGACGUUACUGACGCUGAGACGCGAAAGCGUGGGGAGCAAAAAGG
rnacentral:rRNA from 1 species